rnacentral:rRNA from 1 species
GUCUCAGUUCGGACUGUGGUCUGCAACCCGACCACACGAAGCUGGAANCGUCUAGUAAUCGCGAAUCAGAAUGUCGCGGUGAAUACGUUCCCGGGUCUUGUACACACCGCCCGUCACACCAUGGGAGUCAGCAACGCCCGAAGUCAGUGACCUAACCGAAAGGGAAGAGCUGCCGAAGGCGGGGCCGGUAACUGGGGUGAAGUCGUAACAAGGUAGC